rnacentral:rRNA from 1 species
AGGCAGCAGUGGGGAAUAUUGCGCAAUGGGCGAAAGCCUGACGCAGCCAUGCCGCGUGUGUGAAGAAGGCCUUCGGGUUGUAAAGCACUUUCAAUUGGGAAGAAAGGUUGCGUGUUAAUAGCACGUAGCUGUGACGUUACCUUUAGAAGAAGCACCGGCUAACUCCGUGCCAGCAGCCGCGGUAAUACGGAGGGUGCGAGCGUUAAUCGGAAUUACUGGGCGUAAAGCGCGCGUAGGCGGUUUGUUAAGUCGGAUGUGAAAUCCCCGGGCUCAACCUGGGAAUGGCAUUCGAUACUGGCCGACUAGAGUACGAGAGAGGGAGGUAGAAUUCCACGUGUAGCGGUGAAAUGCGUAGAUAUGUGGAGGAAUACCGGUGGCGAAGGCGGCCUCCUGGCUCGAUACUGACGCUGAGGUGCGAAAGCGUGGGUAGCAAACAGGAUUAGAUACCCUGGUAGUCCACGCCGUAAACGAUGUCUACUAGCCGUUGGGAGACUUGAUUUCUUAGUGGCGCAGCUAACGCACUAAGUAGACCGCCUGGGGAGUACGGCCGCAAGGUUAAAACUCAAAUGAAUUGACGGGGGCCCGCACAAGCGGUGGAGCAUGUGGUUUAAUUCGAUGCAACGCGAAGAACCUUACCAGGUCUUGACAUCCUCGGAACUUGGCAGAGAUGCCUUGGUGCCUUCGGGAACCGAGAGACAGGUGCUGCAUGGCUGUCGUCAGCUCGUGUCGUGAGAUGUUGGGUUAAGUCCCGUAACGAGCGC